GGCGGUGUNCCUUAGGCAUGCAAGUCGAACGAGAACCUACUCUUUUAGAGUAGGGGAUAGUGGCAGACGGGUGAGUAACGCGUAGGAAUCUACCUUUUAGUGGGGAAUAGCCUCGGGAAACCGGGAUUAAUACCGCAUGUGGUCGCAAGACCAAAGCCUUCGGGCGCUAAGAGAGGAGCCUGCGUCCUAUCAGGUAGUUGGUGAGGUAAUGGCUCACCAAGCCUUCAACGGGUAGCCGAUGUGAGAGCAUGAUCGGCCACAAGGUCACUGAGACACGGGACCUACACCUACGGGUGGCAGCAACCAGGAAUAUUGCGCAAUGGACGAAAGUCUGACGCAGCGACACCGCGUGUGGGAUGAAGCUCCUCGGAGUGUAAACCACUGUGGCAAGGGAACAAUCAAUGAGGGUACCUUGCUAGAAAGCACCUGCUAACUACGUGCCAGAAGCCUCGGUAAUACGUAGGGUGCAAGCGUUAUCCGGAUUUAUUGGGCGUAAAGGGUUCCGUCGGCGGUUUGCUAAGUUUCAUCUUAAAUACUGGGGCUCAACUCCAGAUACAGGGUGGAAAACUAGCAGACUUGAGUUUGUUCGGGGUAACUGGAACUCUCGGUGUAGGGGUGAAAUCCGUAGAUAUCGAGAGGAACGCCAAUCGCGAAGGCAGGUUACUAGGACAAUACUGACGCUCAUGGACGAAAGCUUGGGUAGCAAAGGGGAUUAGAGACCCCCGUAGUCCAAGCCGUAAACGAUGCUCGCUAGCUGGUUGGUCUUCGGACUGACUGGCGUAAGCUAACGCGUUAAGCGAGCCGCCUGGGAAUUACAAUCGCAAGANUAAAACUC
rnacentral:rRNA from 1 species